rnacentral:rRNA from 1 species
UACGUAGGGGGCAAGCGUUGUCCGGAUUUAUUGGGCGUAAAGAGCGUGUAGGCGGCCAGGCAGGUCCGCUGUGAAAACUCGAGGCUUAACCUCGAGACGUCGGUGGAAACCGUUUGGCUAGAGUCCGGAAGAGGAGAGUGGAAUUCCACGUGUAGCAGUGAAAUGCGUAGAUAUGUGGAGGAACACCGAUGGCGAAGGCAGCCCCCUGGGUCAAAACUGACGCUCAUGCACGAAAGCGUGGGGAGCAAACAGG